UCAGGGGACUCUGGUGGAAGAAAGUCUCUGGAAUGAUCUGAGAGCAAAGGGACAAGGCAGUUAUUUCCACACAGGUCCACCAGGAGAUCUAAGACCUGAAGCAGCUUCUGUCUUUUCUGAAAGAAAGAAGAAUGGCUUGGAAGCUUCCACAGUUCAUUGGCUUAGGAGUCAGAGGACCUGGGUUCAAACUCUACCUUUGAUGCUUACUGACUACAGGACAUUUGAUCCCAGGAGAAGGGGAGAGAUGCCACAGACACGCAGCCAUUAUGCAUGAUGCUGCUGAAAUGCUUGUCCAGUGUCUUCUGUGGUGUAGACAAUUACAGCAGAGUCACAUGACUGGAGCUUUGUGAAACAGAGCAGAUUCAGGGAGGAGGGGGUUGGGUUUCCCAGUGGGAUGAAGAUUUGGACUUGUUUGGACUGGGUAAAUUCAUACUUAGUGCACACUUUACGCUGAUGGUGCAAGCAUGAACAUCUAAUAACAGGUGGAGCUGGUCAGUCAAAAAGCAUUUGUUAAAUGCUUAAUAUAUGCCAGGCACUGGGCCAGAUGCUGAGAAUACAGGCAUACCUCAGAGAUGUUGUGAGUUCGGUUCCAGACCAUCCCAAUAAAGCAAAUAUCCCAAUAAAAAGGGUCACACGAAUUUUUUGGUUUCCCAGUGCAUAUAAAAGUUAUG